CCAGACUCCUACGGGAGGCAGCAGUGAGGAAUAUUGGUCAAUGGUCGGGAGACUGAACCAGCCAAGCCGCGUGAGGGAGGAAGGUACAGAGUAUCGUAAACCUCUUUUGUCAGGGAACAAAGACUGGGACGCGUCCCCGGAUGAGUGUACCUGAAGAAAAAGCAUCGGCUAACUCCGUGCCAGCAGCCGCGGUAAUACGGAGGAUGCGAGCGUUAUCCGGAUUUAUUGGGUUUAAAGGGUGCGCAGGCGGAAUGUCAAGUCAGCGGUAAAAUUUCGGGGCUCAACCCCGUCGUGCCGUUGAAACUGGCGUUCUUGAGUGAGCGAGAAGUAUGCGGAAUGCGUGGUGUAGCGGUGAAAUGCAUAGAUAUCACGCAGAACUCCGAUUGCGAAGGCAGCUUGCUAGGCCGGAUCUGACACUGAUGCACGAAAGCGUGGGGAUCGAACAGGAUUAGAUACCCGUGUAC
rnacentral:rRNA from 1 species